UGACGGCCUUCGGGUUGUAAACCUCUUUUAGUAGGGAAGAAGCGUAAGUGACGGUACCUGCAGAAAAAGCACCGGCUAACUACGUGCCAGCAGCCGCGGUAAUACGUAGGGUGCAAGCGUUGUCCGGAAUUAUUGGGCGUAAAGAGCUCGUAGGCGGUUUGUCGCGUCUGCUGUGAAAUCCCGAGGCUCAACCUCGGGCUUGCAGUGGGUACGGGCAGACUAGAGUGCGGUAGGGGAGAUUGGAAUUCCUGGUGUAGCGGUGGAAUGCGCAGAUAUCAGGAGGAACACCGAUGGCGAAGGCAGAUCUCUGGGCCGUAACUGACGCUGAGGAGCGAAAGCGUGGGGAGCGAACAGGAUUAGAUACCCUGGUAGUCCACGCCGUAAACGUUGGGCGCUAGAUGUAGGGACCUUUCCACGGUUUCUGUGUCGUAGCUAACGCAUUAAGCGCCCCGCCUGGGGAGUACGGCCGCAAGGCUAAAACUCAAAGGAAUUGACGGGGGCCCGCACAAGCGGCGGAGCAUGCGGAUUAAUUCGAUGCAACGCGAAGAACCUUACCAAGGCUUGACAUACACCGGAAACGGCCAGAGAUGGUUGCCCCCUUGUGGUCGGUGUACAGGUGGUGCAUGGUUGUCGUCAGCUCGUGUCGUGAGAUGUUGGGUUAAGUCCCGCAACGAGCGCAACCCUCGUUCUAUGUUGCCAGCGCGUUAUGGCGGGGACUCAUAGGAGACUGCCGGGGUCAACUCGGAGGAAGGUGGGGAUGACGUCAAAUCAUCAUGCCCCUUAUGUCUUGGGCUUCA
rnacentral:rRNA from 1 species